rnacentral:tRNA from 1 species
GGGUCUGUAGCUCAGUUGGUUAGAGCACACGCUUGAUAAGCGUGGGGUCACAAGUUUAGAUGAA